rnacentral:rRNA from 1 species
GACGUAGGGCGCGAGCGUUGUCCGGAUUUAUUGGGCGUAAAGAGCUCGUAGGCGGCUUGUCGCGUCGGCUGUGAAAACCCGCGGCUCAACUGUGGGCGGGCAGCUGAUACGGGCAGGCUGGAGUUCGGUAGGGGAGACUGGAAUUCCUGGUGUAGCGGUGAAAUGCGCAGAUAUCAGGAGGAACACCGGUGGCGAAGGCGACUACCUGGCCUGUUUCUUGACGCUGAGGCGCGAAAGCUAGGGGAGCAAACGGG